rnacentral:rRNA from 1 species
CCUACGGGCGGCUGCAGUAAGGAAUAUUGGACAAUGGGCGCAAGCCUGAUCCAGCCAUGCCGCGUGCAGGAUGACGGCCCUAUGGGUUGUAAACUGCUUUUAUACGGGAAAAAACCCCUCUACGUGUAGAGGGCUGAUGGUACCGUAAGAAUAAGGAUCGGCUAACUCCGUGCCAGCAGCCGCGGUAAUACGGAGGAUCCGGGCGUUAUCCGGAUUAAUUGGGGUUUAGGCGGAUGUGUAAGUCAGUGGUGAAAUCCUGCAGCUUAACUGUAGAACUGCCAUUGAUACUGCAAGUCUUGAGUACAUAGGAUGUGGGCGGAAUGUGGAGUGUAGCGGUGAAAUGCUUAGAUAUUACACAGAACACCAAUUGCGAAGGCAGCUCACAAAACUGUAACUGACGCUGAGGCACGAAAGCGUGGGGAGUGAACAGGAUUAGAUACCCUUGUAGUC